rnacentral:rRNA from 1 species
UACAGAGGGUGCAAACGUUGUUCGGAAUUACUGGGCGUAAAGCGCGUGUAGGCGGCAAUACAAGUCGGAUGUGAAAUCCCGCGGCUUAACCGUGGAAGUGCACCCGAAACUGUAUCGCUAGAGUCCCGGAGAGGAUGGUGGAAUACUUGGUGUAGAGGUGAAAUUCGUAGAUAUCAAGUGGAACACCGGUGGCGAAGGCGGCCAUCUGGACGGUGACUGACGCUGAGACGCGAAAGCGUGGGUAGCAAACAGG